GCAAACAGCCGCGCUACAGCGUUGAGCAAGUCAUGCUGACAGCCGCCGGGCAAGCGACAGCAUCACGUGACCGCAAGAUCUGUAUGAUUUAGCAAAUUAACACGACCAGACGAGCCCCACGGUUUUAGUUAGUUCCUGGACCAACAGAUGGCGCCGCUCCUGAUACGUUGUCAGCGAAGUUUCGCUUUGCCUUCUUUCUCCGUGCUAUCAGGAAGCGCUCCGUUGAUAAGCGAUUUUUGUCACGCUAGUAAUCGUGGGUGGGUAGCUCAGUUGGUACAGCGUUUGGCUUCUGUACAGAAAGACCCUGGUUCGAAACGGGAUCUCUCUGUUUAAGGUUUGGGGGUAGAUACUGGGUAAACGUAUGAGGGUUAGCUGUAUGGGGGGUUUGUAAGGGUUGACAGGAAGUAGCCUAGGUGUGGGUGGGUAAGAUAGGAGGAGGUCUGGCGGGAGUGCGCCCGAGGAUGCCCCGUGGGGUGUUAAGUAAGACCCCACGGGGCCGCCGAUGACGUCGUCCCCCCCCGGUUAGUUGCCUCAUCCGGGAACUGGCCGCGGCGUAAUUUCCAGAAUUCUCACCACGGUUAUGCAACAUGUAUAGUCUGUCUGUUUUGUUGAAAGUCAAGUAUUUUAGGUAAGUAUUUAAGUCGUAAGUAGGCGUUGUAUGUAUGUAUUUCUUCCCUUCUAUGUUGUUCCAGCCUCAGAACAUCAAUUCUCAUGAUCACGUCGUUUUGUAGAGAUAAAUUUUCCACUGAUGGCUUCGGGGUUAAGGUUGCGUUUGUGGCAGUGGAAGAAAGUGGAUUGAAAGAAAUUCCUCUGCUCCGUGGAAAAGUAUGACAUUGGGCAGAGUGUCAGAGCGUGAGCACAAGAAUGCAAAGAAAUGUAGAACAUUUAAAAACAUGUCACAAUUGUGCAGCAGUGUUUGAGGAAAAAUCUAGGGGUAGGGGCCCAAGCAGCACAAUGUACUGAAAGUCGAGUGCAAUGGGGGUGGACGGUUAUAUCAAUGUUCUUUAGUCUCACGGGUCUGUUCAAGGGUUUCCACCUACCCGGCCACCCCCAUUGCACUCGACUUUCAGUACAUUGUGCUGCUUGGGGGCGCGUCAUUGUUUGAGGAAGCGAAGCACGUUGUUUGCAGAUCAUUAUGUUAGUUCGCGAUCAGUCUUUUACUCUGAUAAGAUACACGAAUUCCUCGAAAACACAGGUCAAAAACUUGUUUAUGAAUCGGCGCGGCGUGGCGCUGGUGCGUUGGGGGGUGUCGGCUCAUUGAACCUUUGUUGAAAGUGUUAUGCCGUUCUAUUCUUUCUGCAGCAAAUAGUUGACUUGAUCCCGCGAAUAUGAACAGUAAUCAGCGACACAGGCAUGCGAGGAGGAUCGUUCUCCAUUGUGGUAUCGUGGAGAAUGAACAUGAUGACAGAAGCAGCUCUCUCAUAUCGGAGACGGACGAGUAUUACACCGCUGAGACCGUCCAGGAACAAUUUGGACGAAUGAUAUUCUCCUUCCAUGUAUGCCUUGACCCGAUGCUCGCUUUCUGGAUGCACCGAAACGCCUGUCAUUAAAACGCUGCAAUUCAUUGGAUGCGACUCAACGCGGCUUCUACAGUUCAAUGGCGUUACUGCUCAAGGUGUCUCCCACUGCGGUGACCCGGAAGAUCAAGAUUGCACCGCAGAGUGUUUGUACGUUGCAGUGGCAUUAUGGUACUGUUCGAGAACAUGCUUGCCCAGUAGAACGGAGGAGAGUCUGCUUAGCGAAAGAAAAUAACGGGAAAGGAGCGUUUGAACGCGGUGUUUUUGUCAACGCGCUGCAUACUAGCUGAUACCUCCGGGAAGCGAUGUCAUCGUUCUGUUGGCUCACACCUAUCUGAGGACAAGCAUAUGAGCCUGGAUGACCAUCCGUAGCGUACAUAAAGUAAGUACAUUUCUUGAUUGCCUUGUCUGCCUAGUUCUGCAGGUGCAGCGCCGUCACAUUAGUCUUCCAUUGCGCUAAGUCAUAAGCCUUGCGAAGCUAAGCCUUGCUAAGCCCGGCUAAGCCACAACAGCUCAUAAUGCUUCCUUCGAGGGGAUAUCACUUUUGCAUGAACGUCCCUGCUACCCCUCAGUGAUUGAAGGCACCAACAGGUGAUGCUACAGGUUACUACCCUUUCUGGUUACUGGCCUUCCUUACCAAUAUCUACAGGUCGUGCAGCUUCACAGUUGACCUUUGUGGAGCAGCUUCAACAGCUCAUGAUGCUUCCUUCGAGGGGAUAUCGCUUUUGCAUGAACGUCCCUGCUACCCCUCAGUGAUUGAAGGCACCAACAGGUGAUGCUACAGGUUACUACCCUUUCUGGUUACUGGCCUUGCUUACCAAUAUCUACAGGUCGUGCAGCUUCACAGUUGACCUUUGUGGAGCAGCUUCAACAGCUCAUGAUGCUUCCUUCGAGGGGAUAUCGCUUUUGCAUGAACGUCCCUGCUACCCCUCAGUGAUUGAAGGCACCAACAGGUGAUGCUACAGGUUACUACCCUUUCUGGUUACUGGCCUUGCUUACCAAUAUCUACAGGUCGUGCAGCUUCACAGUUGACCUUUGUGGAGCAGCUUCAACAGCUCAUGAUGCUUCCUUCGAGGGGAUAUCGCUUUUGCAUGAACGUCCCUGCUACCCCUCAGUGAUUGAAGGCACCAACAGGUGAUGCUACAGGUUACUACCCUUUCUGGUUACUGGCCUUGCUUACCAAUAUCUACAGGUCGUGCAGCUUCACAGUUUACCUUUGUGGAGCAGCUUCAACAGCUCAUGAUGCUUCCUUCGAGGGGAUAUCGCUUUUGCAUGAACGUCCCUGCUACCCCUCAGUGAUUGAAGGCACCAACAGGUGAUGCUACAGGUUACUACCCUUUCUGGUUACUGGCCUUGCUUACCAAUAUCUACAGGUCGUGCAGCUUCACAGUUUACCUUUGUGGAGCAGCUUCAACAGCUGAUGAUGCUUCCUUCGAGGGGAUAUCGCUUUUGCAUGAACGUCCCUGCUACCCCUCAGUGAUUGAAGGCACCAACAGGUGAUGGCACAGAUUACUACCCUUCCUGGUUGCUGUCCUGCAUACCUUUCUCGACAGGUCGUACACGGCACAAGCGGAUCUCCGGUAACUCCACCAGGUGGUGUCCUCCGUUGCUGCCCGUUGUUGCACCUCAGUGGUUUGAAGCAGCGGCAGGAGUGCCAGGACAUUUUACUCGCCCAUUCUAUUGAUUGUUUCAGAAUCCACUUGGAAGCCACGUGUGCAUGCUGUCUCUAAUUGCAUUCUACUGACGUGUGAGUGCUAAUUUUCACCAGCAGGCCCUUUGCUGCAGCAGCUUUGUCCUGGAACAGAAGGUGCCGGAAGAAGCCAGACGGGACGCUGACGAGGACGCUGACGGAAUACGAGGAUGGGAUCCCAACUUCACAAGGAAUCCUCGUAAUGGAUGUGAUGAGUUUCCUGACGUUCGUCAACUGGUGCACGACAUCCACCAAUGACCUUGACUUCCUGUAGGGUAUGGCAUAUCACCUGCAAAGGCAUA